AGAAAUGAAUAAAAGUGAAAGAAGACGUUAUCAAGUAUUUGACGUACCAACUCCAACAAGGAACAGACCUUUAAGGAAUACACAGGACAGAAGAUAAUAACUCCAUGAAUUAUCAACAUACAAUAUUGCAUUCUGAUAUAAUGGAAACCUGGCUACCAUGCAGGAGGCUCAUGGCCAAACAAGGACAAUACAUAAAAAAUGUAUGUCUGUGCUGGAAAGAACUGUUUGGUUGUGUAUUGGAUUAUGAAACUGGAAGUUGAAGGUUUUAUGCCUAACUUGGGUACCAAUGAAUUCAUUCAUUUAAAAUUAAAAUCAUACAUAUCUGUGGAGUUACAAAUUAAGCUGGAAAUUUAAUUAGUGAAGCUAAAGCAAAUGAUGCACAGCAAAUUGUGUUAGACACAGAAACCCUAUUUGAAUCAAGGACUACAUCCUUAAAAUUCAGACAAUCCAAUAUGAAUGUUUUUAAUGUAAAUGA